UGCUAGUUUUUAAAUGUUUCAGAAGUAUCCUUCGGUUUGCUGUUUCUCUAUAUUCUCUGUUUCAUUUAUUUUCUGUCUUCUGAUUAGGCUUAGUUGCUUUAUGUUUCCAGUUUCUCAAGGUGAAAGAUUACAAUACUCAUUCCAGACAGCUAUUUCCAUGAGGUCUCUAGCCCAGGCUGGAUUGGAACUCCCUAUUUUUCAAGAAUUAUCUUGAAUUCUGCAUCUCCUGCUUUCACGUCCAGAGUUCUAGGGUUACAGGCAUAAGUCACCAAAACAGGCCUCAGAGGUGCUGGGGGGCAAAUUCCGUGCCCCUUGCACAGCAGACAACUAUUCUCCCAGCUCAACUAUAUCCCUGUCUCUGUUCUUUUUUAAAUGUAGGCAUUUGGAGCAACAUAUUUCUAUGUAAGAAAGAUGAGCUGCAUUCUAGAUUUUAGUAUGUUGUACUUUUUAUUUCACAUUUACUUCAGAGUAUUUCCUCAUUUCUUUGAGUUUUUAAAAAAACAUUAUUUACUUUGGAGUGUGCUAUUUGAUUUUCAUGCAUUUACAGAUUUCUAAAAUAUUCGUGAUUUUUAAAGAAGACUUACUUACGAAUGCGUGCAUGUGCCUUUUGAUGGAGUGCUUCUUUCAUUUACUUUUAAAACAAUUCCUGAUAACAGAAUUUAUGUCUGUGCCUGCAUAGGUCAGCCGAGGAUGUCAGACCUCUGGUCACUGCAGUCACAGACACUGUCGGCCACUACGAGGGCGCUGGGAACUGAACCUGGAUCUUCUGCAAGAGCAACAAGUGCUCUUAAUGACUGAGCCAUCUCUCCAGAACCUCAGUGUUGUUUUUUUAAAUAUAUUUUAAAUAUAAAGUUAAAUAUAUUGAGUGUCACUAUCUCUUGUGGUUGCCCUGGGGAUUUCAAUUAACUGCACAGAAAAAAAAAUCAAGUUCAGGUUAAUAGUAAUCUAAUUCAACGGUCAUAUAAAAAUUUGCUUCAGUAUAACUGUUGAUCUGAUUUGUAUGGAUUUAAAUCGCUGUCUGUAUCAGGCUUAAAGGGAUCUAUUAGUGUUCAAUGGGGGAUGUCCUUCUGUAUGCUGUGAAUAUGUGCUUCUCUUAUUGGUUUAAUAAAAUGCUGAUUGGCCAGUAGCCAGGCAGGAAGUAUUGGCAGGGCUACCAGACUAGGAGAAUAGCCACCAGAGAGACACCAUGUAGCCACCAAAAGAGUAACAUGCCUGAGCAUUAUGGAUACGCCACAGCUUUGUGGCAAUAUAUAAUUUAAUAAUUAAGAGAGAGCUAGCCAAUAAGAAGACUGAACCAUCAGCCAAACAUGAUUUAUGUAAGCCUCUGUGUGUUUAUUUGGGACUAAACAGCUGUGAGACCAGGCGGGACAGAACUUCUGUCAACACCUUUCAGCAUAUAUAAUGCAUUAUCCACUACCUUCUUGCCUACAGAUGAUGUGAUAGUUUACUUUUUGUUGUUUUCAAGAAUAUUUCUUUAGAGUAUGCCUUAGUAUGGGUCUUUGGGUUUAUCCCAUUUGAAGUUUGCAGAUUGUCUUGGAUGUAGUCAUAAAAUUUGGGUGGUUUUAGCAAUGACUUACACAUUAUUUCUGCUUUUAUCCAUCCUAAAAUUUGUAUUAUCAAUACAUUGAUAUCCUUGGUGGUAUCUCCACAGGUCUCUGAGACCCCAGACUAUUACUUUUCUUUUUUCUAUAACUUAAGACUAGAUACCUUCUGAUGGAAGCAGAAGCAGCUAAGCACUGAGUUGAACUACUGGAAUACAGUUGUAUGGAGAGAGGAGUGAUGAGCAAAGAGGUCUGAGGCCUGAACUGAAGGAUGCAUACAUGCUGGGAGUUACUAUUACUGGGCUGCAUUCCUACCUCUAUCUGAUUGAAAAAUGACUCUAUUUAUUAGUUUCUUUUAAGACUUUGAAUAUUGAGAUGGCUGAUUUACAGUCUCUAUCUACUAAAUCCAGUAUCUGGCACCUUAGACAUAUUUUCUCUUUUGGUAAGUAUAUAUAGUACACUUCUGUUUCUCUAUAUGACCUGUAAAUUUUGUUGAAAAUGAACAUUUUGGGUAACACAACAACUAAAAUGUAUAUUUAUCAUGACCUCCCUCCCAAAGUUAGUUGUUUAUGCUGUACUGUUGUUUAUUUAUUGACUGUAUUUGGCACUGCAUUUGCUAUGACAAAAUGCCCAGCAAAAAAACUUAAGGAAGAAUACUUUUAUACAGAUGUAAAAAUUCUCAGUAAAUAAAUCAUAUACCAUGA